AAUUAGAAUUGAGAAAGAGGAAGUGGCAAAGAGAAAGCAUGGGCAUAAUCCCACUCAAAGCAAGCGAAUCAAGACUAAGUUGACUUCCAAUUUGACCAACGAAGAAAAGGAUGAUCCAGAAACUUGCUUAGGAAGCAAUUCAUAUGCGAACUUCUCGAACUCCACCGACGCCGAGAAAAUAUUAGGUGCCUUGACAGACGCCACUUUUAGCAUCGCGACCGACCAUCCCCUUCCGUCCGAUGCCACGGAACUCUGGCCAAUUUAAGACCGCCACCUGCCGACGGAGGUGAUGAACAGCGAAUUGACGGCGGCAGAGACCGGCGAGCCGAGUUGACGGACCGCCGCCGCCCACCGAAGCCGUGGAAACUGAUGAAGCAGCUUGGUGGGAACGAUUCUCUCCUGAGGUUCUGGGCUUUCAUGCUCGAUUUUGAAUUCGAUUCGUGCGGUGCCGCAAUUGCGCGGGAACUUGAAGGAUGUGUCCCGUGCGUUUGUUCGAGAGACGCUGAAUAAGGUGUUUCUUCGUAAGUUUGGUCUGUGGAUGGUUGGGAGUGAAUUCACUGGCGAUCCAUGUUGCGCGCUGCAAAUUCAGCAACAAUCCCUAGUAGAAGGCAAACUUUGAACUACAUCAACGUCACUUUCGAUAUCUCUAUUUCAUCUUUCAUCUGACACCAGCGAGCCUCGACGAGUGGAAGAUUGCCACCUACCAAUGGAUCGUACGAACAGAAGAAGUUCUUCGUAAACAGCCUAGCGAACUGAAGGUGACGGAGACCGGUGAGUAGAGGCAACAGACUACCACUGCCGACCGAAGCCAUGGAAACUGAUAACAUAGCUUUGGGUGAACGAUUCUCUCCUGAGGUUUUGGGUUUUAUGCAGCUUGCUAUAGAUCAGCUGUGUGAUUGUUGAGGAUGGGAACGUUAUUGCGGCAGGAAGAAACCGGACUAAUGAGACAUGGAAUGUAUGUUUAUCAUUACUUCUCCAGCUCGUUAUAUAGAUUUUGGCCAACAGCACUUUGUUAAUGUUCCAAAUUGAUACCCUUGAAUUAUCACACUUGUAUAUAUAUGCUACCUAACAGUUCGCGCC